rnacentral:rRNA from 1 species
UACGUAGGGUCCAAGCGUUAAUCGGAAUUACUGGGCGUAAAGCGUGCGCAGGCGGUUGUGUAAGCCAGAUGUGAAAUCCCCGGGCUUAACCUGGGAAUGGCAUUUGGGACUGCACGGCUAGAGUACGGCAGAGGAGACUAGAAUUCCUGGUGUAGCAGUGAAAUGCGUAGAUAUCAGGAGGAACACCGGUGGCGAAGGCGGUUCUCUGGGCAUGAUCUGACGCUGAGGAGCGAAAGUGUGGGGAGCGAACAGG